AAAAGUAGACAAGAGGGCCACUUGGAUUAGGCCUCCUUAUAUAGGCUUAACUGAAAGAAUCAGUACUAUAAUUAGAAUUUAGAAGAAACAAUCCGACGAGGCGCUGCAACGUUGGGAGCCUUGUGUUAUCCAAACAAUCUGACAAGAGCUUAAAUACGGUCCAUGUCAGCUUCGAGAACUAAACCACUACGACUAACAUUCUGCUUCUGUUGUGUGCCCAGCGUUGCUCACCUGCUGUUUUCCUUGAUUUGCCUCCAGAUAAUCAACGUGCUAAGGUUUGAUGUUGUCUGCA
rnacentral:lncRNA from 1 species